AUGAUAUUGGGCUUUUUAUUUCCCUAGCAUUAAUGGUCUCUGGUUUUAUUUCGCUGUCCUUUAAAUUCAUAACAGUAGAUGUUUUAAAAUCAACAAAGGUUAUUGAGAGGAAAUGCUUGACGGUGGUCUUCUUCAGUAGGAGGAGCCUUGGCCUCAAUUUCUCUUUGGAGAUGAGAACUGUCAGGCGACACUCUUACUAUUGUAUUGUAGAGCGUCCUCUUUCUUUUAUGUUUUCUCGAUUUUUUUUUUUUUAUUUCCUUUUUCUUGUGUAGGAAUUUUUUCUCAUUUUUUAUGAGUUUAAAACUUAAUUGUGAUCUGCUUUUAGUUUUUAAGAAUAGGC
rnacentral:misc_RNA from 1 species